GUAUAAGAGACAGCAGUAGCCGCGGGAAUACAGAGGGUGCGAGCGUUAAUCGGAUUUACUGGGCGUAAAGCGUGCGUAGGCGGCUUUUUAAGUCGGAUGUGAAAUCCCUGAGCUUAACUUAGGAAUUGCAUUCGAUACUGGGAAGCUAGAGUAUGGGAGAGGAUGGUAGAAUUCCAGGUGUAGCGGUGAAAUGCGUAGAGAUCUGGAGGAAUACCGAUGGCGAAGGCAGCCAUCUGGCCUAAUACUGACGCUGAGGUACGAAAGCAUGGGGAGCAAACAGGAUUAGAUACCCCCGUAGUCCCUGUCUCUUAUAC
rnacentral:rRNA from 1 species